ACCCUAAUUACUUUACUUUUCUCCCGCCGUGCGCCCUCUGUCUCCUUCUAUUUUCUUCGCCUUUUUCCUCCUUGCGCCUCUUCGUGUUUUUUCGCCCGACGCACGAUUCAACUCCACUCGACAACCUUCGACUCCCCCAGCGGCCUUCCACUCACCGCUGGCGACAUUUGACUCCCUCGACAGCAAAUCUUCUGCACCCAGCCGACGGUCUUCGAGUUGUUCCCCAGAACGCACAAAUAUCGUUUCCUCUCUACAGAGCUAGGUCUUCUUCGUGUUUUUAGCCUUGCACCCUCUGCUUGUUUUUUCGCCCGACGCAAACAAUCGACUUCACCCGAUGUCCUUUGACUCCACAAGCGACAAAUCGACUUUACCUGGCGGUCGUCCUUCAGGUUUUCUACAGCUCUAGGUUUUGAAUAAAAUAGAUCUACCAGGUGCUGAACCUGAUCGCAUUGCACAGGAGAUUGCAGAGGUUUGUGAAGGAAUGCUUGUUUCUCAUACUUAAAUCUUGUCCUCAAUUAUUGGGCUCGACUGCAGUAAUGCGAUUCACUGUUCAGCAAAGGUUUGUUUGUUUGUGUCUGAACUGAUUAUUUGAUCCUUUAUUGGGCUAGACUGCAGUAAUGCAUUGCACAGGAGAUUACAGAGGUUUGUGAAGGAAUGCUUGUUUCUCAUACUUAAAUCUUGUCCUCAAUUAUUGGGCUAGACUGCAGUAAUGCGAUUCAUUGUUCAGCAAAGGAGGGGUAUAACUGAAUUUUUAAAUGCUAUUAUAACAAGGAUUCCUCCUCCAAAGGAUAUCUCAGAAAGCCCUAUGAGAGCUCUUAUAUUUGAUAGGUGACUACAGAUUUUGAACAUAAUUACUUUUUGUUUUUGUUUUCCUUAUGUUUGUUAACUUUUUUCGAUAUUUUUGUUGUUUGUGUUUGACCUCUUUGUUUCCUUGCUAUUAAGAUAUAAAAUGUAACUAUGUUACUAGGACUCGAGUAUGAUUAUUCAAUAUGGGUGUCGAUUUGUGUGUUUGACAUGGUAUUUCUUAGUUUUUUACACAAUAUCAAGAGGAAUGUUGAGUUUUGACUUGGAGUGUCCAUGUCAGACAUGGGUGAAGAGUCCAAUUGUUAGAGAUUAUGUAAUAUGCUUCUAUUUUCUUUUGCUUGUCUUCUAAGCAACAGAGAGAUUGCUGCUUGCUCUAGGGGAACUUGCAAAUGACAUAACCCUAUACCUUUUCCUUUUCUAGUUAAUAAAACAUUUUUUUGUAGAUAAAAGCUAUUUCUCUACUCUGGUGCUUGCACCAAGUUAAUGGCCAUUUGAGCUUGGAAUUUCAUUACUGACGUCAUUUACAUUGUGAAUGAACCAUUCCUCCAACUUAUGAUCUCAUUACCUACUCCAUACCUUCUAUCAUAAACACUCCCCCUUCAUUAAUUGAAUCGAUGCCUUUUCCUACUUACACUUGCUAUAUCUGUUUAGGGGCUUAACUCUGUAUGAUUUGUUGUUGUACUAUAGUACCUUGAGUUGUACUUCCUCAGGUUUGUCUACCUUCUACUUACCCAAUUUUGUAAUGAUUGUUCCGGAGCUCUCUUAAUGAAGAUAAGAAUAUGAUAUAUUUAUUGAACUCUUUGAGUAACAGAAAUCGAGAUCAUGCUUGGCAAACUAUUGUGACCAAUGGGGUCAAGAUAUACAAUGCAUCAAGGGGUAUUUCAAAAGGACCAGGGUAAUCUUAAACAAAAUGGUGGCGUUAAAUGUGGAUAUUAUGUGAUGUGGUACAUGAAAGAAAUAGUCUUGGAUGAAUAUCCACAAUUAGAGAGGAAGUUUACAGCAUCAAAAAACAAACAGUAUUACAAUCAAUCUCAGUAUGAUGAAGUCAGAAGUGAAUGGAGCGAAUUCGUCUAUUUCUAUGUGGGUGCCUAAGUGUAGGUUAUGAUAUAAAUUUUAGAUUGUAUUUAGAGAUUUAUGGAUAUAAAAGUUUUUGGGUUAUGGUUAAAUAGUUCUUUUAUGAAUACACUUUUGGAUUGUAUUUGAUAAACAUUUGUGAUAUAUUUGUUCAAUUUUAGUGAUGAAAACUAUUGUGUUAUAGUAAAA